UGGGGAAUAUUGCACAAUGGGCGAAAGCCUGAUGCAGCAACGCCGCGUGAGCGAAGAAGGUCUUCGGAUCGUAAAGCUCUGUCCUUGGGGAAGAUAAUGACGGUACCUGACUAAGAAGCCCCGGCUAACUACGUGCCAGCAGCCGCGGUAAUACGUAGGGGGCAAGCGUUAUCCGGAUUUACUGGGUGUAAAGGGAGCGUAGACGGUUUUGCAAGUCUGAAGUGAAAGCCCGGGGCUCAACCCCGGGACUGCUUUGGAAACUGUAGAACUAGAGUGCAGGAGAGGUAAGUGGAAUUCCUAGUGUAGCGGUGAAAUGCGUAGAUAUUAGGAGGAACACCAGUGGCGAAGGCGGCUUACUGGACUGUAACUGACGUUGAGGCUCGAAAGCGUGGGGAGCAAACAGGAUUAGAUACCCUGGUAGU
rnacentral:rRNA from 1 species